AGCUUCCCUUUCUGGUGUGUGCAAUAUUCUUUUUCCUGCAUUUUGUUCAUUACUGCCUGAGCUGUCUCCUUUUUUUUUUUUUCUUUCAGCUCUUUCUGCUUUUCUUGCUCUUUUCUCUUUGUGCUCUCUCUGCACUUUUCCCAUUCUGCUUUCCCUGCACUCAGCUUUUCUCUGCUGCGCUUACUCUCUGUGUUUUUUUUUUCUUUCAUCACACUUUUUAGCUUUCCCAUCUCCCUCUUCUGUUAUGCUUUCACAUAUUUCUUUCCCAUACUUGUCUUGUUUCUAUCUACUUUAGAAACUGCUUCAACUCUCCCCUGUUGCUCCCUCAUUCCUAAUCUCCCUUUCUCCUUUUUUCUGUCGCUUUGCUUUUAUUUAUUUUUCAUGGUUUUCCU